rnacentral:rRNA from 1 species
AGCGAACGCUGGCGGCAGGCCUAACACAUGCAAGUCGAACGAACUCUUCGGAGUUUGUGGCGGACGGGUGAGUAACACGUGGGAACGUGCCCUUGGGUUCGGUACAACUCAGGUAAACUUGUGCUAAUACCGAAUGUGCCCCUCGCGGGUAAGAUUUAUCGCCAUUAGAUUGGGCGGGGUCUGUUUAGCUAGUUGGUGAGGUAACGGCUCACCAAGGCGACGAUCAAUGGCUAGUAUGAUAGGAUGACCCACUAGCAUUGGAGUGAGCCACGGCCGAGUCUCCUACGCGGCGCAGCAGAGGGGAGCAUAGCGAGCUGCAGCAAAAGCUGGCGCAGCCGCGCCGCGUGAAUGAUGAAGGGCUUAGGAUUGUAAAAUUCUUUCACCGGGGACGUUAGUGACGGUACCGGGAGAAGAAGCACCGGCUAACUUCGUG